AGGUUUGCGCAGUGGCAGUAUCAUAGCCAAUGAGGACAAACCGAGGCGUGAUUAUUGCUAAUUGU
rnacentral:snRNA from 1 species